CGCCGGGUGGCAGAGCGGCCGGCCGCCCGGUCGUUCCGCGGCCCGCGGGGCCGGUGGUUCGGCGCCGGACCCGGCGC
rnacentral:tRNA from 1 species